UGUUCUCUCUCUCUGUCUCAAAAUAAAUAAAUAAACAUUAAAAAAAUUUAAAAAAUGAUCCAUUCAAGACUAGGCUCAUAUACCUGUACUUUGCUUUUUUUGAGGAAAUGGACAUUGCAAGUUGUAACUGAACAUGCUUGCUGUCUUGCCUUGUUAGCCAAGAAACUUGUUUCAAAAUUUCUGGCCUGUUCUCUAGCAACUACCUAAGACUAUGUGGUUACUUAUUUGACACUCAUCUCUAACCUUGGGUUUCCUUUCAUAGUUUUUUUCAGCGUAACUCCCUUCAGUAUUUACCUGUUAUAGUCUCUGAAUUUUUUCCAAGCUACCUUAUGUCAUUUGUGAAGUGAAGACACCGUGAGAAAACGAGCUGCAAUGUCCCAUCUGGGAGCUACUGUCAGAACCACAUGACCAUGUGCAGGUGGAACUCAGUGACAAAGUAGGGAGAGACGUUGGGGCUGAAAAGUCUGAAAAAGAAGGGGAAUCAACACCUGUUGUGAAUGGAAAGUGAACAGAGAAUACAGAUUUUUCAAGUAAACUUACUGACUCUAAGAGUUUUUAGACCUAAGCAGUCUGGCCAGAAAACUGCUUAAAACAUGGCUUUUCCUAGGCCUGCAAAUAUAACAGAAAAGGGUUUCUUUCUGGAUUCCCUAACUCCUGCUAUUGUGA